AUGAUGCUUAGGUUAGAAUGUAUGAAACUUCGCCUUGUAUCGGUGUUUUCAGCUGUCAAAUACCAGUUGGUGAUUCUUCAUUCGGUAAGGCCCUCACCGUGGACAAGGACCUGGUCUGCCUCAAGCUGCUCGAGACCCUCCUGUGGCGCUGCCAGUAUCAAGCAUGGCAGGCUCUCUCUCAUGAGAAAUAAGAGACGGGGAAGUUGUCUGAAGCAUUUAGAAGGGGAGACUUCUGUGGGGCGCUUCCAAGCCCAUGAUAUCAAGAAGCUUCAAAUUAUGAUGACCAUCAGACCGUUUAGUUUUCUAGCCCGGUCUAGAUGCUAUGUUAUGAUUUCCAUUCUCGUGGAAGUCACACCACCCUAG
rnacentral:rRNA from 1 species